AUUGAACGCUGGCGGCAGGCUUAACACAUGCAAGUCGAGCGGAGAGAGGUAGCUUGCUACCGAUCUUAGCGGCGGACGGGUGAGUAAUGCUUAGGAAUCUGCCUAUUAGUGGGGGACAACAUUUCGAAAGGAAUGCUAAUACCGCAUACGUCCUACGGGAGAAAGCAGGGGAUCUUCGGACCUUGCGCUAAUAGAUGAGCCUAAGUCGGACUAGCUAGUUGGUGGGGUAAAGGCCUACCAAGGCGACGAUCUGUAGCGGGUCUGAGAGGAUGAUCCGCCACACUGGGACUGAGACACGGCCCAGACUCCUACGGGAGGCAGCAGUGGGGAAUAUUGGACAAUGGGCGCAAGCCUGAUCCAGCCAUGCCGCGUGUGUGAAGAAGGCCUUCGGGUUGUAAAGCACUUUCAGCGAGGAGGAAGGGUGGUGUGUUAAUAGCACAUCAUUUUGACGUUACUCGCAGAAGAAGCACCGGCUAACUCUGUGCCAGCCGCCGCCGUAACAC
rnacentral:rRNA from 1 species